GCAUAUCAAUAAGCGGAGGAAAAGAAACUAACAAGGAUUCCCCUAGUAACUGCGAGUGAAGCGGGAAAAGCUCAAAUUUAAAAUCUGGCAGUCUUUGGCUGUCCGAGUUGUAGUCUGGAGAAGCGCUUUCCGCGCUGGACCGUGUACAAGUCUCCUGGAACGGAGCGUCAUAGAGGGUGAGAAUCCCGUCUUUGACACGGACUACCAGUGCUUUGUGAUGCGCUCUCAAAGAGUCGAGUUGUUUGGGAAUGCAGCUCAAAAUGGGUGGUAAACUCCAUCUAAAGCUAAAUAUUGGCGAGAGACCGAUAGCGAACAAGUACCGUGAGGGAAAGAUGAAAAGCACUUUGGAAAGAGAGUUAAACAGUACGUGAAAUUGCUGAAAGGGAAACGCUUGAAGUCAGUCGCGUUUGCUAGGACUCAGCCUUGCCUCGGCUUGGUGCAUUUCCUAGUAGACGGGCCAGCAUCACUUUUGGCUGCGGGAAAAAGGUCAGAGGAAUGUGGCACCUCCGGGUGUGUUAUAGCCUCUGGCUGUAUACCGUGGCUGGGAGUGAGGAACUCAGCACGCCUUCAUGGCGGGGCUUCGGCCACCUUCGUGCUUAGGAUGCUGGCGUAAUGGCUUUAAACGACCCGUCUUGAAACACGGACCAAGGAGUCUAACAUGCCUGCGAGUGUUUGGGUGGAAAACCCGAGCGCGUAAUGAAAGUGAAAGUUGGGACCUCUGUCGUGGAGGGCACCGACGCCCGGACCAGACCUUCUGUGACGGAUCCGCGGUAGAGCAUGUAUGUUGGGACCCGAAAGAUGGUGAACUAUGCCUGAAUAGGGUGAAGCCAGAGGAAACUCUGGUGGAGGCUCGUAGCGAUUCUGACGUGCAAAUCGAUCGUCAAAUUUGGGUAUAGGGGCGAAAGACUAAUCGAACCAUCUAGUAGCU
rnacentral:rRNA from 1 species